rnacentral:rRNA from 1 species
UACGUAGGCAGCAAGCGUUGUUCGGAGUUACUGGGCGUAAAGGGUGCGUAGGCGGCUUUUUAAGUCUGGUGUGAAAUCUCCCGGCUCAACUGGGAGGGUGCGCCGGAUACUGAGGGGCUAGAGUGUGGGAGAGGAAAGUGGAAUUCCUGGUGUAGCGGUGAAAUGCGUAGAUAUCGGGAGGAACACCUGUGGCGAAAGCGGCUCACUGGACCACAACUGACGCUGAGGCGCGAAAGCUAGGGGAGCAAACAGG